GUGUCAGCCGCCGCGGUAAUACGGGGGGGGCAAGCGUUGUUCGGAAUUACUGGGCGUAAAGGGCUCGUAGGCGGCCAUCUAAGUCGGACGUGAAAUCCCUCGGCUUAACCGGGGAACUGCGUCCGAUACUGGAGGGCUCGAGUGUGGGAGAGGGAUGCGGAAUUCCAGGUGUAGCGGUGAAAUGCGUAGAUAUCUGGAGGAACACCGGUGGCGAAGGCGGCAUCCUGGACCAUUACUGACGCUGAGGAGCGAAAGCCAGGGGAGCAAACGGGAUUAGAAACCCCCGUAGUCC
rnacentral:rRNA from 1 species